rnacentral:rRNA from 1 species
CUCCUACGGGAGGCAGCAGUAGGGAAUCUUCCGCAAUGGACGAAAGUCUGACGGAGCAACGCCGCGUGAGCGAAGAAGGCCUUCGGGUCGUAAAGCUCUGUUGUUAGGGAAGAACAAGUACCAGAGUAACUGCUCGUACCUUGACGGUACCUACCGAGAAAGCCACGGC